AACGAACGCUGGCGGCAGGCUUAACACAUGCAAGUCGAGCGCCCCGCAAGGGGAGCAGCAGACGGGUGAGUAACGCGUGGGAAUCUACCCAUCUCUACGGAAUAACGCAUGGAAACGUGUGCUAAUACCGUAUACGUCCUUCGGGAGAAAGAUUUAUCGGAGAUGGAUGAGCCCGCGUUGGAUUAGCUAGUUGGUGGGGUAAAGGCCUACCAAGGCGACGACCCAUAGCUGGUCUGAGAGGAUGAUCAGCCACACUGGGACUGAGACACGGCCCAGACUCCUACGGGAGGCAGCAGUGGGGAAUAUUGGACAAUGGGCGCAAGCCUGAUCCAGCCAUGCCGCGUGAGUGAUGAAGGCCCUAGGGUUGUAAAGCUCUUUCACCGGUGAAGAUAAUGACGGUAACCGGAGAAGAAGCCCCGGCUAACUUAGUGCCAGCCGCCGCGGUAACAC
rnacentral:rRNA from 1 species